rnacentral:rRNA from 1 species
ACGAACGCUGGCGGCGUGCUUAACACAUGCCAGUCGAACGGAAAGGCCCUGCUUUUGUGGGGUGCUCGAGUGGCGAACGGGUGAGUAACACGUGAGUAACCUGCCCUUGACUUUGGGAUAACUUCAGGAAACUGGGGCUAAUACCGGAUAGGAGCUCCUGCUGCAUGGUGGGGGUUGGAAAGUUUCGGCGGUUGGGGAUGGACUCGCGGCUUAUCAGCUUGUUGGUGGGGUAGUGGCUUACCAAGGCUUUGACGGGUAGCCGGCCUGAGAGGGUGACCGGCCACAUUGGGACUGAGAUACGGCCCAGACUCCUACGGGAGGCAGCAGUGGGGAAUAUUGCACAAUGGGUGGAAGCCUGAUGCAGCAACGCCGCGUGCGGGAUGACGGCCUUCGGGUUGUAAACCGCUUUCGCCUGUGACGAAGCGUGAGUGACGGUAAUGGGUAAAGAAGCACCGGCUAACUACGUG